GGGGAGGGCAGAUAAAUGAGCCACCCUAUGCACCAUUCUCAGGCUGUCUCACAUAGCGGGAGGAGAAUGGUUUCCUGAUCGCGCAUCAGUUAUUACUUUCACGACAGGGCACGGGUACAAUGCACACGUGGCACCGCAGUUACUGUGAGGUCUGACCCUGAGUGGUACGUGGCUAGUAACAGCCACGGCUUCAGAAACUCGCCAUGGAACACUGAAGGAAGCAG